rnacentral:lncRNA from 1 species
ACUAGACAUUGAUGCAGCCCAUUCAUCUGUUCAGGAAAGAAAAUAACUUUUUCAAUGUUAUAGUUUCCCCAAGAAAGUAGCUUUUUAAUCUAGUUGAAGAGAAGAGGAGAGUUAAAAGAGCAAAUGAAUAAUAUAUACCAGAUGAUUGAUCUUGCUGUAAGAGUGGUCCAAUCCAUCAGGGCUUCCCAGUGAUUCCCUAUUUGCACUUAGAUAUUCCUUUCUUUCUAAAGCCUAAAAUUUUAACAUUCAACAAGAGAGAUUAAUCCAAAUUAUAGUCUGUACAACUUGCGAAAAGUGCAGUACUCCCAAAACAAAUAAAUUAACAAGUACUUGUGUUAAAGCAUCUUGGAAUUUGUCCAUAGUGUUACUGCUCCUUUCUUCAAACCACUGAAGAAAAGGUGAAAGCUAUGCAUGUAAUCAGUAUAGUUAAAAUGAGGAAUAGGUAAUUCAAUUCAUUAGAGAGGUUUUACAUUUGUAUUUAUACAGUAGAAUAAUGUGUGAGAACCCUAACUAAGAAAUGUAUACAACAACUAUUAUGAUAACAACUAGUAGCUAACAGAAUAACAAACUUUGGUUAAGAUAAAUUCUUAUCUCCUAAUACCCUCCCGCAAGAUGGCAGACCGUGAAGAAAUGCCAAUCUUGUCACACCAUUUAUUAAAAGCUUGCGUUGAAAGAGCUUUAGUGAGUAAGUUCGCAAGCUGUUCUUUUGAGGAGACAUGAGUCACUCGCAAUGAGCCAUUUUGUACUUGCGACCUAACAAAGUGGUAGUCAACAGCUAUGUGUUUCAUCCUUGAGUGAAACACGGGAUUUGCAGCAACAUACGUGGCACUCAGAUUAUCACAAUAAAUAACCGGUGUAGAAGAGAUGUUCACCUGAAGUUCAGCUAAAAGAUUUCGAACCCAAGUAACAUCAGCAGAUGUGGAUGCCACUGACUUGUAUUCAGCUUCUGUGGAGGAUCUCGCAACUGACUUUUGCUUCUUGGAUGACCAAGCAAUAGGAUUGCGGCCAAGAAAAAUAAUAUUAGCACUUGUGGACGUGCGAUCAUCAGGAUUGCCGGCCCAGUCAUCAUCGGAAAAUGCAUGGAGAUCACACUUGGAAUCUCGUCGAAGAAAUAAACCUGUAUCAAAAGUACCAAUUAAAAAUCGCAACAACCGUUUAACCGCCGACCAGUGAUUAAUGGUUGGUCGAGAAGUGAACUGAGAAAGCCUAUUUACAGCAAAGGCAAUGUCUGGUCUAGUAAGUAAUAGAUACUGCAGUUUGCCAAUAACUCUGCGAAAACUGGAAACAUCAUCAAGAUGUGCUGAAUCAGCUAACCGAAGAGUGGAUGAUGUUGACAAUGGAGUAUUGACAGCCUUUGCACCCUCCAUUUCGCAAAUUCAAGUAUCUCCCUGAUAUAGUUUUGUUGAGAUAGAAAAAUUCCUGUUGGCAGUCGCUUGACUUCAACACCCAAAAAGUAACUUAAAUCACCCAAGUCUUUAACCGAGAAAUUGGAUUUGAGCUGAGAGAUAAAUUUUUCCACUGCUUCCAACUUCCUGUGAUGAUUAUAUCAUCAACGUAAACUAAAACAUAAAUAAUCAGUCUAUCACGAAUGUAAGUAAACAAGCAAGUAUCAGAGUGAGACUGAGCAAAUCCACUGUUAAUUAAAUAAUUUUUCAACUCCGAAUACCAAACCCUUGGUGCCUAUUUUAGCCCAUACAGAGAUUUAUGCAGUCGACAUACAGCAGUGAGAUCAUUACUAUCAACAUAUCUAGCAGGCUGUUCCAUGAAGACAGUCUCGGUUAAAUGCCCAUGCAAGAAAGCAUUAUUAAUAUCCACCUGUCUCAAUGGCCAAUCAUUAGUGACAGCAAUAGAUAACAAAAUGCGAAUGGUUGGAUGUUUGGCUACCGGAGAAAAUGUCUGAUCAUAAUCCAAACCAGGCCGUUGAGUAAAUCCUCUUGCAACGAGGCGUGCCUUGUUCCGAAUUGGUUUACCAUCCGAAUCAUAUUUGAUGCGAAAAAUCCAUUUGCAACUGACCACAUUAGUUGCCAUAGAUUUCGGCACCAAUGUCCAUGUCUUCUGUCUUUGUAAAGCAUCAUACUCUUCAUCCAUAGCAGCUCUCCACUGUAGAAUUUUUAAAGCUUGACUUACUGUUUUAGGAACAACCAACAAAGAAUCAUUAGCUUUUUCCGCAUUCAAACAUAAACGCUGCACAAGUUUGACAAUAUUGUUCUUGCCCCGAGUAACCAUCGGAUGAGUAUUCUGAGAGAGUCCGUUCUUAGGCUCUCCUUUCGCCAGCAGCUUCCCUGUGCGCAUAUCCUUUACACCAAAAGAGAAAGAAUUAAAAUAAACUUCCACAUCAUUUGUAUCACAAAAUUUAUGUACUGAGAUUAAGUUUCUAUUAAUAGUUGGCACGCAGAAAACAGCAUUCAACAUUAAAUUUCUUGUAGGAGUUGAGAAAGAAACAGAACCAGUAUGUGUUACAGGAUGACUCAUUCCAUCACCAAGCAUAACAUCUUCACUACCAUCAUACUCUGAAUGAAGAGAUAAAUUCUGGAUAUCCUGUGUCACAUGUUGAUUUGCCCCAGAAUCUAAAAGCCAUUUUGAAUUUGCAGACUGCUCAGCAAAAUUAACUUGAGGUUUGGAAGUCUGAGAAUUGGAGAAGAACCACGGACAUGCUUUCUUCAAUUUCCAACACUGUCUAGUUGUAUGUCCAGGUUUUUCACAAAAUUGGCAAACAAUACGACCUCUAUUGCCAGUUGAACCAGAGUUGUUCGAAUUUUUAUUCUGAGAUUGCUUCCCAGAACCACUGUGGUUAUUUCUUGUGCCUCCAGAAUAUGAUUGAUUCUGAGUAUAAUUAAUACUGACUUGAUUAGUAACAACAUUAGAGUCUCGAUUCAGCUAAGUCUCCACAUCUAUGAGCUUCUCAUGAAGUUCAUCAAAAGAGACAACAUUAUCUCUUACUCGCAAAGCCGCAGUGAUUUCUUUGUAAUCAGACGGAAGGCCAAGAAAAACAGACAAAGCAAAUUCAGCUGCAGAAACAGAAACACCUGCAGUUUCAAGUUGAAAAGAUAUAGACUUUGCCUUUUGCAAAUAUUCAGAUAUGGUUAAUGAUCCCUUCGUGAUCGUGAGCGGUUGCUCACGCAGACUCAUGAUGCGACUCUGCGAUGGUUUCGCAUACAUCUUUGAUAAUGAUUGCCAGACAUCAUAUGAGGUUUUGUCUCCAACAACAAACGGAGCAACUUCAGGUGACAAAGAAGCUAUUAACGCACUACGUAUAAACUGAUCUUGUCGAAAUAGGAAAGAAUUUCUAGUCGCCUCAGUUUUGCGAUCUUAUUCGACAAAGUUGAGAAAAUCAUAUCCGAUUAAAAGAGAAUACCAUUGGGUAUACCAAAUCUGAUAAUUGAAUGGAGUGAGUUUAAUUGGUGCCUGAGCAGAAGCAUUAAUCGAAAUUAAUUGAUUUGUUAGGGUAGGAUUAACAUUAAUCGAACCUGAUAGUGUUUGAGGAGAAGAGGAAGAAUCGUCAGGCUGUUUUGUGAGAUCAGUAGGGUUCGUCAUGAUUUGGAAUAAGGAUCGAGAGUACCGCUAAGUUUGAUGCUCUGAUACCAUAUAGUUAAAAUGAGGAAUAGGUAAUUCAAUUCAUUAGAGAAGUUUUACAUUUGUAUUUAUACAGCAGAAUAAUGUGUGAGAACCCUAACUAAGAAACGUAUACAUCAACUAUUAUGAUAACAACUAGUAGCUAACAGAAUAACAAACUUUGGUUAAGAUAAAUUCUUAUCUAAUUUAUCUCCUAAUAAUCAGAAAGUUGGCAGUGGAACUCAUGAAUCAAACUAAAAUACCUCAACAAAGUUUUAUACCCGUUUCUUGUAGUUCAAUAUAAUAAACUCUUGCUGCUUCAAAGUCAAAUUCUUAUUAUAAAUUACAACAAUUCACAAACUACUCCCAAGAAUAACAUAUGCAAAGGGAUUAGCCUCCAUCCCCCAUAUUUCCCUGCCAAAAAAAGAAGCAAGAAAAUAAAAAGAACUCAAAGGCUUCAAAUUAGUUUGUGGUUGGCACUGACUAAAUAUAAUGAUAUGAAAUGAUACUAUCUACAGGAACAGUGGAAUAGACAAUUCUCACGUCCUCAAGCUGUGAAAUUUCUCUAGCUGGAUCAAUCCAAGCACUGAAAAGCAAUACUGGAUCAACAUUUGAGCUCAAACUACAGAAUGACAAGAAAAAUUUUUGAAGUUUCAAAUAACUAUUUUGAAGCCUACAUUCCAUAAUAGCCGUAAAACUGUACUAGAACAUGGCUGUCAAUACCUCUACUUCUUGAAUCAGAUACGUGUGAUGUUUCUCCAAUUAUCUAAAAAAAGGUUUACCAGAUUUUGUUGAUCAAUUGGAUCAACAAAAUAUAAUGAAAAGUAUGCUCCAUAUUGAGGGCCUAAGAACUCAUGCAUCGACAAAAGUCUUAUCAGAACAUGUAUAUAGAAUCAGCAGGAGAGAAAAUAUGCAAUAAGAGCUGCAACUAAAUUUCACUUUGGAUUGCAAGAACAAAGUAAAACAUAACCUACUUCAGCAGGCCACCAAAUUUGGCAGUUCAUUUUUGCCUACACAACAUUUUCUGGAUUUACACAAACAAUAGUGCUUUCUGCAAUUUGAGAUUUCUCAGGAGUAGAUUCCGAAGUCGUGAAACUUGUCUGAUUACUGACAUUUUUAAAAGAAGAAAGAAAUAAACAUUUCAGUGAUCAGAUGGUUCAGAUUGACUAGAUAUAGUAACAAGUAGUACUCAUGGGUGCAGGACAAACCUAUCAUUGCAGUGAUAAUCAAUAACUGUAUGUUGGGCAGCUGAUUCAAGUCCUGUAACUGAAUUGUCACAGAAAUCAGAUAACAGUUUUGAAUUUGACUGCAGAAUUUCUGCACCCAACUAGAUGGAGCUCAGGCAAUUCUUUUUCAUCAGCUGGAGUGUAAUCCAAACUACUUGUCAAAACACUGAACAAACCAUGUCCAAGGGGACCUGUGGAUUACAUGUUCCAAAAACAUAUUGUCUCUAUAUACUAAAUCCACACUUCAUUGAAAUGAUAAUACAUCACAGCCAUAAAACUUACAACUGGAAAUUCAAAAGGUCAUGAUUUUAACAUAGCUGCAACAAAUUCAACCAGUUAAAACAGUAUCAACACUGAUACAGUAAUAGCCAGACCUUAGAAGUCUCCAUGAUGUAUUGGUAGUUGAUUAACAUAUAUGACAAUGUUAAACAUGUUGUAAUUAAAGUUCUCCAUCUCAGAAAGAAAAUAAUCAUUGAAAAAUUCUAAAACAAUAUAUGCAUUAAGAAUAACAGGAUGACCCUAAUAAUGCUCAGACGUGAAAAAGUACAAGCAAUUUCCAAAACCAGAGGAAAAAAAAUUAUAUACCAAAGCCCAAAUUUGACAAGGCAACAGGAAAAUUGAGAUAGCAAGCAAACAAAAUCCACAACAAAAACAAAAAAUUCUGAGAAACCACAGGCAAUUCGUUGGAACAAAGACUACCACAGAAAGAAAACCCUCAAUUGAGAAGUGAACAGAGAAAUUGAAAUGGCAUACCUGAAUUGGAGAUAAAACAAGAAGGAGAAGAAACGAAAGAAGAGAAAUCAGAACGGCGUUUAGUUGCAGGGUUCCUAGGCUGCUUUGGGUAAUUGGGAUUUUAUCAAGUAGGUGUAAUUUCUUCUUCCUCGUCUUUUUCCAAUCUUGUGAUCUCUUCUUCGCCAUUGCUGUGAAUUGGGAGUUGGUCUUCAAUUAUGAGAAAAGAGAAAGGAAUCAGAGAUUGAAGUCUAAGAAAUUUUAGUGGGUUUGCAAUCAUGGGCCAGCCCCAUCCCUGUUAC